rnacentral:rRNA from 1 species
AUGCACCCCGAGGUAUGCACAUAUGAACUCUUGAAACAAUGGAAAAAUGAAAUAAGAGAAAAUUUAUUGGGCACAUCCUUCAGCACACCAUCAAUCCAUCAAUAUAAUUUGUUCAACCAUGAUGGAAAAACAAUGGAUUUGGGAAACUUGAGAUCUACACAAAAAUGUUCAACUUUUUCUUUCCCUAGUUAUUUUCUAGUGUCCUUGUGCUAUAGUUUUGUAGACCGAGUAAAGUUGAGGAUGACUUUUCUCCAAGAGAAGGAGGAUGAUAUGGACAUGCUCAUGGUUGGUUAUAAAUUUGUGCGCCAUGGAAAUGUUUGCUGGAAGGAACUCCUAAGUCAAACAAAAUAUCAUGUUGGCAUCAUCCAUAAGAUACCAAACUUGAAAACUAAAAAUCUCUAUAUCAUGAAACCUUUGCAUUAUGAGUUGGUAUUGCCCUGCUUUCCUUUGUGUGAUGACCAGGUAGAGUCGAUGAUGACUCUUUUUCAAGAGAGGGGGGAUGAUGAGGACAUCUCAAUUAAUGAAACAACAUCGAUCAUCCCUGGACAAACUUCAAGUGUGAUAAACAAAUGCAUGAUCAGAUGCAACACAAUUCUAAGGUGA